GUAACUUUGAAGUGUAAAUCAAGGUUUAUUAUACCAAUCUUCCUCAAAAUAGAACUUCACUGUUCAGCCCACAUCCAAGGAUUUUGGCAAGUUUCAAAUCCACUUUUUGGUUUUCCUUUUUUCUUUAUUUUUAUAACUUUAUGUUGUGCAAAUCCUUGCCAGUAUAUUACCAUUGUGUAUGUACGUUCUUUAAAGUAGGUUUCUUUCAUUCAUAUUCUCAUCUUUCUCCAAACCCACAGACCCCUGUUUCUCUUCGUUUCUCCGAUCAUAGGGAACCAAUUUUAGCUUCAUUUAUUCAGGUUUUUCUUUUUUGUUUUCAAUUAAAUCUUGAACUAUGCUCCCAUUUUCAAUCUAUGUACUGUAGUCUUGCUCAUACUUCAUUCGUUUCAUUGAGCUGAGCAUUCUUGUUUGUCUCUUGAGCUCUUCCAUUCACGUGAAAUUCAGAAAUUCUUUUGUCGUCUUGUGCAUUUCAGUUGUCUGUAUUUGGAUUCUCCAAGAUGGGUUUCUUUUUUUAACCCAAUUGAUUGAUUGCUUCAAAUCGAAGGUUACUUGGGGAAGAUAAUUUUGUAGCUUUCUUUCUAUUUAUGCUUAGUGGAGGGAGGUGGGGGGGUUUCUGGGGAUUAUGCUGAUUGCUUUGAUGGCUCUUAAUGUAACCUAGAUUUUGUUUGUUAAUGAUGAUUUGGAAACUAUGAUAUGAGUUGAGUUUGUUGGGGUUGAAGAAGUUUACAAGAAAGAAGAUGGUGUUUUGCCUGUUUAUUAAGGUGGGUUUCUUUUGAGAACUCAUAAGCUUUGAUCUUUCUGUAUAAUGGAGUCCUGGAAUUAUGGUUCUCAAGGGAAGGGAUUUCUGUCUGAUGAGAUGAAUUCAUCUACUAAUUCACCACUGAGAAGUAAAUAUUCUUUGUUGGGUUGGGAAUUCAAGAACCCAUGUAGUUUUGGGGACAACAUGCUUCUUACAAGUGGUGCUCAGCAUGUGGAGAAUCAGAGCUUUGGGGAACUGGAAUUUCCCCAAAUGGUUGGAAAACAAUUACCUGAUGAUUCUGUCAGUGAUGUCUUGAAUACUAAAACUGAUGGAGGGAGAAACUUGAAUCUGGUUCUUCCCACCUCUCAUCCACAUCAUGGAGAAGAAGAGUCCACUUCGAAACUCUCUGGCUCCAUUGUAGACUCUAACAAUCGAGAUUCAUCUCUUAUUGAUUUGAAGCUAGGCAGAUUCAUUGAUCAAGGGGAUGCUCACAGUUCCAAAUACUCCAAGAGAGCUGCAAUUUCAUCUUCCACUGAAUCAUCAACUUCUCAUAAGAAAAUGCGAUCUCAAGGUGUGAAUUUCCAGACUGCGUUUUGCCAAGUCUAUGGUUGUAACAAAGAUCUCAGCUCCUCUAAAGACUACCACAAGAGGCAUAAAGUUUGUGAGGUUCAUUCAAAGACUGCCAAAGUUAUUGUGAAUGGCAUAGAACAGAGGUUUUGUCAGCAAUGCAGCAGGUUUCAUUUGCUUGUUGAAUUUGAUGAUGGUAAACGCAGCUGUCGAAAACGGCUUGCAGGCCAUAAUGAACGAAGAAGAAAGCCUCAAGUCAGUUUUCACUCAGGAAGGGCACAGAGGUUGCUUCAGCCUUAUAAUGGUAUUGGAGACGGCAGAUUUCAGGAGAAAACGUUGACUGCAACUUCAUUUAUCUGCAAAGAUAUACUGUCCAGUGGUCUGUAUUAUCCAGAGAAGCUUGGAGAAAACGAUUGGUGUAAGCGUAUAAAAGUUGAGGGCAAGAGUGAUUAUAAUUCUAUAUCUGCAACUUCACUGAGCAACAGGCAUUUGAAUGUGAAAUCUCCCUUGCUUCCCUAUGAUUUUGAAGUACAGCUUCCUCCUUUCCAAGAAAAUGGAACUAGUACAGCACCUACAGUAAACAUGUUAAGUGAGACAACUUGCCAAUAUUCACAUAAUGUGGGAGGUCCCCAUAUUGAUACACAUCCUUUGUUCCACCAAACUACCUUAUCAAGCGAAGAAUUUGGAGUUUAUGAUGCAGCAUCAACCAUCCAAGGACUUUCUGGAAUUCCAGACUCUGGUUGUGCUCUCUCUCUUCUGUCAUCUCAAUCACAAAGUGCAUCGAACCAUCCAUCCAUAGUUCACAUUCCUCGUGCUUUCAUCAUGUCCGAGAGUCAAUCGAAUUAUAGCAUGAGCGAACUCUCCGAAAAGCUCAUGGGAGUGAGCCCACAGGCUUCUUCAACUGGGAUUACGAGUAAAUUUGCCUCGGGGAUGGGUGAAGCUCAAAUGGGUCCCAUACCGACGUGUGAAAGUAGUGAUCGUACUGUCACCUUUCAGAUUCCUGGUAGGGUUCUUCAUAGAUCAGGUUUGGCAAAUCCUAAAGCUAACAUUUCCUAUGAACGCACUCCAACUAUUGACUUGCUACAACUUUCAUCACAACUCCAGCGAGUGGAACAUCAGAGGCACUCCAUGCAGUAAUACUCACUGGGUUCUGGGUUCAAGCACUGACAAGUACAAUGGCAAUUGUAAGGUAUAGGAAAGUACACUGGCAUUUACUUCCUUGUUCUUUGUGUUAUCAGGAUCAAUGAGAUCAAUAAAGUUGGAGCCCAAAUUAAAAGUAAUCUAGAAAGUACUUGUUUUUUCUUCUUAGCCAGACAAGAAAACCGGUUCCAUCACUAUUAGUGGAAGAAUGCUACAACAAAUUGCUAAGGUCAUCACUGCUAAUUCUACGUUGUCGUGUUAUUCUUUGCCUAUUGUAGUAUGAGAGUGUUUCUUUUCUACCAACAGAACCACGGAGGACUAUGACUCAGCAUAGGAGACUUCGUGAAGGCUAGUGAGAAGUUGAAGCUUGAACCCAUCACACCUAUGCCAAUGGUACAUUUUGUUAGCCAAGGAGAGAAUAAAUUGUUGUAUAAUCUUCCUAUCUAGUACCUCUAACCUUGUCUUCUUUUCUGAUUCUGUUGUUGUUUCUAAAAUACCAAUGUUUUUAUCUUGGGACUAGCUUGUCGAAUCCCGAAAAUUUUUCGUCGUAAAAUUUAGUUUAUACAAUUAUUGUAGUCCUCAGAGAUUCGCCCUUUGAUUAUGAUGCUACACUUGUGCUUAAUGUCUCAUUGCAUAUACCUAGGUUGAAGGUUUUGUUCUUACAA